GGUCAACUGUAUAUCUACUUACAUAUGAAUGUACAGUGUUACAAACUUCCCCAUAACUCAGUGACAUGUGUCUACAGUUCAACAGGGCAGUUCUUGUCUUGCUGGGCUAACUCAAGAAUAGGCAAUCAGUUGUGAAGUUAAAGAGAGCUAUGCUUAUCUUGGCUAGACUCUCACAUGUUCAAGGUUAUAUUUUCCAGCUGGUCUAGAAUGGCCCAAGAUGAAACAGCUUGGUUGUUCUCUACAUGGUUUCUCAUCCCCCAGCAGGCCAGCCAAAGAUUAUUUAGUUGGUGGUGGCAGAGUUCCUUGAGAAAGAGUAGACACUUGCAAAACCUUUAUUCUAAACUCAGAACUGGCUUACCAUGCACUUUUCCGCCUUAUUCACUUGGCCAGAGGGAAGUCACAGGGCCAACUCAGAUUUAAAAGGUGGGAAAUAGACCACCUUUUAGGGGAGAGACAUCAAAUCAUACUGCAGAGGGGAUAGAUAUAGGGAGGGAUAAAGAAAUGUGGUUGUUUUUGCAAUCAGUCUAUCAUGUUAUCUUAGUUAGCUAUCAUGCCUAAUAUAUAUUUCUCUUAGAUUUGAGAUGUAUGAUUUCAUUCAUCUCAUUUGCUUAAAAGUAUGAAACAGUACAGAGCCCCUUUAUAAAUUUCCUGUUUA
rnacentral:lncRNA from 10 species